CCCUUAGAUGUUCUGGGCCGCACGCGCGCUACACUGACCAGUGCAACAAGCAUCCGUCCUUGGCCGACAGGCUCGGGCAAUCUUUGAACGCUGGUCGUGAUGGGGAUAGACUUUUGCAAUUUUUGGUCUUCAACGAGGAAUUCCUAGUAAACGCAAGUCAUCAACUUGCAUUGAUUACGUCCCUGCCCUUUGUACACACCGCCCGUCGCACCUACCGAUUGAAUGGUCCGGUGAAGCCUCCGGAUUGGCGCGCACCUCGGUGCCGCCGAGAAGUUGGCUAAACCUUACCAUUUAGAGGAAGGUGAAGUCGUAACA
rnacentral:rRNA from 1 species